UAGUUUCCUGGAGAAAUAAGCUAAUGGU
rnacentral:piRNA from 1 species